rfam:Postia placenta Mad-698-R POSPLscaffold_33_Cont2172, whole genome shotgun sequence.
GGCAAGAUGGCCGAGCGGUCUAAGGCGCUGGAAUCAGGACACUAGUUCCAUCCAGUCCGAAAGGGCGUGGGUUCAAAUCCCACUCUUGUCA